UUUUCCACAUUUUUUCCUUUGCCGUUUUCGCUUUUGCAUAUUUUCUUUUCCAGCAACUUAAGCAUUAUUGUUUCUUUAUUAUUUUUACGAGUUCUACACUAUCUCCCUUGCAAUUUCUAUUUUCCUUUUUCCUUUUUAGCAUUUAGUUAAUUCUUUUCGCACAAUAGUUUCUACACCGGAAACUAUUGUGCACCUUUUUACCGGAUCUAACCUUACGUUAGAAUCUAGUUUUAUUUCCUUCGUUUUAAUUUGUUGUUUAAUUGAAGAAUCCAAGAACAAAUCCUACCGGCUUGUGGUGGAGUGUUCAAGACUAUUGUUUAACUCAUUCAGGUUCUUUAAUUAUUAUUUAAUGCUUUGUUUUAUUAUUUAUUUA
rnacentral:lncRNA from 1 species